CAAAAGGGGCGUGGCCAUGGAGUG
rnacentral:piRNA from 1 species